AGUUGCAGAAAACCAUGUGUCAGGGGAACCGGGUUGAAUACCGGGCCGCAGAGGGUGAGGGCCCCGUACCUGAACGCGCAUGGUCUGCCGAUCGCGUCUCCCAAGUAGCACGGGUCCCGUGGAACCCCGUGCGAAUCCGCCCAGACCGUUGGGUAAGCCUGAAUAUUCCUGUCUGACCGAUAGCGAACGAGUACCGUGAGGGAAAGGUGAAAAGUACCCCGGGAGGGGAGUGAAACAGUCUCUGAAACCAUGCGCCUACGAACCGUCGGGGCCCUCUUGUGGGGUGACGGCGUGCCUAUCGAAAAAUGAGUCUGCGAGUCAGUGGCAUGUGGCGAGCAUAACCCGUGUGGGGUAUGCGUAGCGAAGGCGAGUCUUAAAAGGCGUUUGAGUCGCGUGUCCUGGACCCGAAGCGGGAUGAUCUAGCCCUGAGCAGGUUGAAGCGCGGGUAAGACCGCGUGGAGGACCGAACCCACCUGGGUUGAAAACCGGGGGGAUGACUUGGGGCUAGGGGUGAAAGGCCAAUCAAAUUCCGUGAUAGCUGGUUCUCUCCGAAAUGCAUUUAGGUGCAGCGUCGGAUCGAUUACAUCCGGGGGGUAGAGCGACUGGAUGCUUGCGGGCCCAUAUCGGGUACCAACAGCAACCAAACUCCGAAUACCCGUGAUGCGUAUCCCGGCAGUGAGUCGGCGGGGGAUAAGCUCCGUCGUCGAAAGGGAAACAGCCCAGAUCGUCGUCUAAGGUCCCCAAGCGUGUGCUAAGUGGGAAAGGAUGUGGAGUCGCAUAGACAGCCAGGAGGUUGGCUCAGAAGCAGCCACCCUUGAAAGAGUGCGUAACAGCUCACUGGUCUAGUGGUUCCGCGCCGACAAUGUAGCGGGGCUCAAGCACACCACCGAAGACGCGGCAGUAUUUUGUACUGGGUAGGAGAGCGUCCCAUGAGGGGCGAAGCGGCCGUGUGAACGCGCCGUGGACUUCAUGGGAGUGAGAAUGCAGACAUGAGUAGCGAGAGACGGGUGAAGAUCCCGUCCGCUGGAUGACCAAGGGUUCCAGGGCCACGUUCAUCGUCCCUGGGUGAGUCGGGUCCUAAGGCGAGGCCGACAGGCGUAGUCGAAUGGAUGAACGGGUCGAUAUUCCCGUACCGGCUUUCAGCCGCCAAAACCGAGGCUUGGAGUACUAACCUCCGGGUCCGGGCUUACUGCUCCUUCGGGGGCGGGAUGCCCUGGCCUGUUGGGACCGAUCCUUGUAGUAGGUCAGCGCAGGAGUGACGCAGAAGGGUAGCCGGCCGCGGAGGUGGUCUUCCGUGGUCAAGCACGCAGGGCGUGGGACAGGCAAAUCCGUCCCGCAUGGGUCCGAGGUGCGAUGAUGGGGGCCUUAUGGCCCGAUAUCCGGUGAUCCCGGCUGCCGAGAAAAGCUUCGGCGUCAGGCUCAAAGCCGCCCGUACCCCAAACCGACACUGGUGGUCAGGUAGAGAAUACCAAAGCGAUCGAGCGAAUCCUGGUCAAGGAACUCGGCAAAUCACUCCCGUUCCUUCGGUUUAAGGGAGACCCCCGAUGGUGAACACACUUGCUGUGGGAGCUUUUGGGGGUGGCACAGACCAGGGGGUAGCGACUGUUUACCAAAAACACAGGUGCAUGCGAAGGCGCAAGCCGCUGUAUAUGCACUGACGCCUGCCCGGUGCCGGAAGGUUAAGAGGAUCCGUCAGCCUUCGGGUGAAGCGGUGAAUUCAAGCCCCGGUAAACGGCGGUGGUAACUAUAACCAUCCUAAGGUAGCGAAAUUCCUUGUCGGGUAAGUUCCGACCUGCACGAAUGGCGUAACGACUUCCCCACUGUCUCGACCAGGAGCUCGGCGAAAUUGCAGUACGAGUAAAGAUGCUCGUUAAGCGCAGAAGGACGAAAAGACCCCGGGACCUUUACUAUACCUUGGUAUUGGCAUUCGGUGUGGAUUGUGUAGCAUAGGCGGAAGGCUUCGAAGCCACGGCGCCAGCCGCGGUGGAGCCGCAAGGUGAAAUACCGCUCUGUUCGCAUUGGAUGUCUAACCUCGACCAGUCAUCCUGGUCAGGGACAGUGCCUGGCGGGUAGUUUAACUGGGGCGGUUGCCUCCCAAAGAGUAACGGAGGCGCUCAAAGGUUCCCUCAGCCCGGUUGGCAAUCGGGUGGCGAGUGUAAGUGCACAAGGGAGCUUGACUGCGAGACUGACGGGUCGAGCAGGGACGAAAGUCGGAACUAGUGAUCCGGUGCCGGUGUACGGACGCGGCAUCGCUCAACGGAUAAAAGGUACCCCGGGGAUAACAGGCUGAUCAU
rnacentral:rRNA from 1 species